rnacentral:lncRNA from 1 species
CGCAGCCAGAGUCAGCCCCCAGCCGUGGGUAACCUUGGAGGCGCCCUCGACAAGUGAGCAAAGGUUAUCCCAGCUACCACAGCACCUGCAGAAGCACAAGUGGAACUCACACAUUUUGCUUCCCGUGUUCUAAAAUGGAUUCUGAGCCAUCCAGAGAAAUCCGCACAGAGGGGAACCUGAGAACAGAGGUGUACAUAUUAAAAAUUACACAGGUGAGCUCCUUUUCACUGAUGAUCCAGAGAGGAUGUGAGUUAAAAUCUUAGAACCGAAAGCACCGAACAGCUCCUACUUCUGCCUGAUUCUCUUGAAAGACCUUGUAGCAUAAUCUAAGGUCAGCAAAUGAAGUUUCUGGCUACCAACAUAAAAGAACUUUAAGAAUCAGUUCCCUGUAGGGAAAAAUAACAUCUCAAAAUAAAAGGAUGGAAAUAGCACACAUUUUUUUAAGCAGAAAAUAUUAUACAGA